rnacentral:rRNA from 1 species
UACGUAGGGUGCGAGCGUUGUCCGGAAUUAUUGGGCGUAAAGAGCUCGUAGGCGGUCUGUCGCGUCUGCUGUGAAAACCCGAGCUCAACCUCGGGCCUGCAGUGGGUACGGGCAGACUAGAGUGCGGUAGGGGAGAAUGGAACUCCUGGUGUAGCGGUGGAAUGCGCAGAUAUCAGGAAGAACACCGAUGGCGAAGGCAGUUCAUCU